rnacentral:rRNA from 1 species
AGCGAACGCUGGCGGCAGGCCUAACACAUGCAAGUCGAACGAUCCUUCGGGAUAGUGGCGGACGGGUGAGUAACACGUGGGAACGUGCCCGUUGGUUCGGAAUAACUCAGGGAAACUUGAGCUAAUACCGGAUGUGCCCUUCGGGGGAAAGAUUUAUCGCCAUUGGAGCGGCCCGCGUUGGAUUAGCUAGUUGGUGGGGUAAAGGCCCACCAAGGCUACGAUCCAUAGCUGGUCUGAGAGGAUGAUCAGCCACACUGGGACUGAGUCACAGCCCAGACUCCUACGGGAGGCAGCAGUGGGGAAUCUUGCGCAAUGGGCGAAAGCCUGACGCAGCCAUGCCGCGUGAAUGAUGAAGGUCUUAGGAUUGUAAAAUUCUUUCACCGGGGACGGUAAUGACGGUACCCGGAGAAGAAGCCCCGGCUAACUUCGUGCCAGCCGCCGCAGUAACAC